AAAGGACUAAAGGACCUAGAAGACGAAAUGCUGAAAAUGUCAAUAACUGUUUCAAAUGAAGUACUGCCGGGCCGAAAUUCCGCAUAGUUUUAGGUAUGGUAUGAACAAAUCGGAUGGUUUUUCCAAUCAAAAAAGUUUUCCGAGAAAAAAAUAACAUCUCUGUAAAAUUAAUAAUAGCUUCGUUAUAUUCAAAAGCUGUAAAUCACAAGAUUCAAGUGCGAGCCGGUACGUAAAGAAAUAACAAUUUUCCUUGGAGAUACGCAUUUCAUAGUCUUUGUCCAAAACGAUAAUAUAAUAUACUCAUCGUUUUUCGGAAUCAAAUAGAUUAAAAAUAUUCGAUAGAUGAACCGCUUUUGAAACUAGUCAAAAUCGUGAUAACAAACGAAAAAUAGAAAAAAAAAACCGUGUGGAUAUUACCUAGUAUUAAAUCAUAUAAAAUAUCGUGAAUUCCUGGUUACUAAGCUCAGAAUCUAAAAUU